rnacentral:rRNA from 1 species
CAGUCGCCGCGGUAAUACCAGCAGCCCAAGUGGUGGUCGCGUUUAUUGGGCCUAAAGCGCUCGUAGCCUGACCGGUAAGUUCCCCGUGAAAUCGGGUCGCCCAACGAUUCGGCUUGCGGGGAAUACUGUCGGUCUUGGGGCCGGGAGACGCCGAGGGUACUCCGGGGGUAGCGGUGAUAUGCUGUAAUCCUCGGGGGACUACCAGUGGCGAAGGCGCUCGGCGAUAACGGGCCUGACGGUGAGGGGCGAAAGCUGGGGGCGCGAACGGGAUUAGAUACCCCCGUAGUCCCUGUCUCUUAUA